rnacentral:rRNA from 1 species
GAUGAACGCUGGCGGCGUGCCUAAUACAUGCAAGUCGAGCGAACAGACGCGGAGCUUGCUCCUCUGACGUUAGCGGCGGAAGGGUGAGUAACACGUAGGUCACCUACCUAUAAGACUGGGAUAACUUCGGGAAACCGGAGCUAAUACCGGAUAAUAUUUCGAACCGCAUGGUUCGAUAGUGAAAGAUGGCUUUGCUAUCACUUAUAGAUGGACCUGCGCCGUAUUAGCUAGUUGGUAAGGUAACGGCUUACCAAGGCAACGAUACGUAGCCGACCUGAGAGGGUGAUCGGCCACACUGGAACUGAGACACGGCCCAGACUCCUACGGGAGGCAGCAGUAGGGAAUCUUCCGCAAUGGGCGAAAGCCUGACGGAGCAACGCCGCGUGAGUGAUGAAGGUCUUCGGAUCGUAAAACUCUGUUAUUAGGGAAGAACAAACGUGUAAGUAACUGGGCACGUCUUGACGGUACCUAAUCAGAAAGCCACGGCUAACUACGUG